ensembl:lincRNA
CUUUUUCUUUGAAUGGACCCAUGCUUUCGGAAUCCCAAAACUGAAUCAAGAAGCUUCCUCAGGAGAAAAGCAAUGGUGCCGCAUCCCAUCCUUACUGGCAUAUAGAUACCAAACAGUGCAGGAUGAAGCCCGGUGGACUCUGUUUGAUCUAUACUGAGUACCAGCGAAAGGAUACAGCACUGUCCCCACUACCACUGGCAGCUAAGGCAGUUCUAAAGGUAAAGAUCACUCUUGACUCUUCCACCUCUCCACCAGGGCAUUCCAGUGAUAGCCAGAUCAAUACUGAGGUAAAUGAAGGAGACAAACCUACCCAGUGAUCCCACAAGAGGCCAAUCUGGAGCUGAUCAUCAGAC